GAAAAAGAUUGGAUUAACCUGGAAGCCAAAGCUGCUUAUGAAGAAAUGAUUACAUUACAAGCCUAUCAUGCUUCUUACGGACCACCACAAACGGACCAAGAAAUUAUGACGAUGGUGCUUGGAAAAAGAUCAAAUUACAUAAUAGGAAUGAGAUAUGGACCAAAACCUCCCAAAAGUCAAGCAUCAUCGCAAUACUCAGAGGACUACGUCCAAUCAUUGGAGUCUCGCCUAGCAAGAACCGAGGAAGCAUUAGCGACUCAGUAACAAGAGACUCAACAGCAACUUGAAUCUCAACAGCAGGAGACACAACAACAAUUAGAGAGAACAUUGGCAGCUGAACGACAAGCGACUGAACAAUGGCUAGAAAGGCAACGCCAAGAGUUUGAAAUGAAACCUGAAGAUUGAUGCAACGAUAUAUGGUGGAAACAUAUUUUGUAACCUUGGCUCGAUUGGAGGGAAAAUGUUAUUUCUAAAUUUAGGUAGACAUUUCGUUGUUUUAAUUUUCAGAAAUUUCAUUCUAUAUGUACGUACUCUAAUUGAAUUGUUUUUAUUUGCAGAAACUUGUAUAUGUUUUCAAUGACAUAUAUUGUUUAAUGAAAUUCAUAUUAUUAUCUAA